GACGAACGCUGGCGGCGUGCCUAAUACAUGCAAGUCGAGCGAACAGAUGAGGACCUUGCUCCUCUGACGUUAUCGGCGGUCGGGUGAUUAACUCGUGGAUAACCUACCUAUAAGACUGGGAUAACUUCGGGAAACCGUAGCUAAUUCCGGAUAAUAUAUUGAACCGCAUGGUUCACUAGUUAAAGACGGUUUUGCUGUCACUUAUAGAUUGAUCCGCACCGCAUUAGCUAGUUGGUAAGGUAACGGCUUACCAAGGCAACGAUGCGUAGCCGACCUGAGAGUGAGAACGCACACACGGGAACAGAGACGCAGUCGAGACUCCGGCGGAAAGAAGCGGUAGGGAAUCAUCCGGAAGGGAGGAAGGAGUAACGGAGGAAAGUCGCGAAAGGGAUGAAGGACUUCGGAUCGUUAAACGCUGUUAUGAGGGAAGAACUAAAGUGUAAGUAACUAUGAAAGUAAUGACGGUACCGGAUCAAAAAGCCACGGCUAACUACGUG
rnacentral:rRNA from 1 species